GGACGGGUGGCUGAGUGGCCGAAAGCGCAUGAUUGGAAAUCAUGUAUACAGAAAUGUAUCGGAGGUUCGAAUCCUUCUCCGUCCG
rnacentral:tRNA from 2 species